rnacentral:lncRNA from 1 species
AUGUUGAACCUCAAGAGUAAGGGGAAAUGAAACCAUCUCUACAGGCCACUGCUGCAGCCCAGAGUCCUCGCUGAAGUAUUAAGUGGUUUAGGGGAUUGGGGUGAACAGUGAAAAAGAUGAUAUGUAUCCAUGAAGGCAGAAGGCUCAUAACAAGGUAGGAUCCUGAUGUACAAAAUGGGGCUGAAAAACAGGACCACAGUAGGAUGGUGUGGAGCUGGACAUGUGUCUCAGCACAUAGGUCAAUGGCUUGCUGUUCUAUAGGCCAAAUGUUUGAUGUUGAACUCCCACAUGGAGUGCAUAAAGGUCUAUAACUCCAUGCCCAGGGCCUCUGAAGGCAGCCUUGUGCCCUAUCCUGGGAUCAGACAUGCAGCUGUUGCUUAAAACUCAGCCAUUCACAGAACAUUUGUAAUGAUUUUCAAAAGAGAGGGAUUUUUUUUUCUAUUUGGGAAGGGUUUAGCUUAUAGCUAUGAUGGUAGGACAAAAGCACUGGAAAGAAGUUCUGGUGAUUCUAAAUAUGGUUUAAAUGAGGAUUUGGGAGCAAAUAGGAGUUUGAGUAGAGGGAAGGGAGUAAAGGGCAGGUUACAGUGCUAUGACAGGGUAAAGGGGAGCAGGGGAGGUGCCUUUAGAGGAAACUGUCGGGGUCAGAGCAUGAAGUGGAAGCUAGGUGGUUGGGCAAAGAACUCUAGUGUUGAGGUGACAUUGCCUAUUAGGUCAAGAAGCAGUGGAGGAAGUCAGGGUUGGUGGUGCAUGUGUUUAAUCAGAACACAUGGAAGGCAGAGGCAGGGGGAUUUCUGAGUUCUGGGUCAGCCUGGUUUACAGGUCAAGUUUCAGGACAGCCAGAGCUAGAGAAUCCCUGUCCCAAUAAACGAAGAAAGAAGAAAAAAAGAAAGAGAGGACAAAGGGAGGAGGAAGAACAGAGGAGGGUGGAAGACUAUAGAAGGGGAGGAAUGGGAAGGACAAGGGAAGAGGAGGGAGGAGAAAGGAGAGAGGAAGGAAGAAGGGGAGAAAAGAUGAGGGAGAAGGAAAGAGGGGGAAAGAGGGAGGAGGAGGAAGGAGGAGAGAGAGGAGAAGAUAGAUGAGAGAGAAGAGGGAAGAAGAUGGAAGGGGAGCAAGGACAGAAGAGAAAGAAAGAGGGAAGAGGGGGAAGCAGGAAACAGUAGCAAAAAGGAAGAGGGUGGAGGAGGGGAGAGAAGCUAAGAGUAGUGAAGAUAAUGGAAGACCAGAGAAGAGAGAGAAAGAGUAAGAGGAAUGAGGAGGGAAGAUGGAAUAGGAGGGUAGAGAGAACAGGAAGAAGAUAAAGGAGGACAGAGGAAAGAAAAUGGACCAGAGAGGAGAGAAGAAGAGGGAAAGAGAGGGUGCAAGGAAGAGGGAGGAGAGGGGAGGGAAGACAGACAAGGAGGGCAGAGAAUGGAAGAAGAGGUAAGAGAAGGAGGGGUGAAAGAAGAUGCCAAAGAGAAGAGGGAAGGAGAAAGAAAGAAAGAAAGAAAGAAAGAAAGAAAGAAAGAAAGAAAGAAAGAGAGUGAGAGAGAGAGAGAGAAAGGAAGGAAGGAAGGAAAGAAGGAAGGGAGGAAGAAAGGAAAGUGAUAGAGGAUUGCGGGGGGGAGUGGACAGGAGAAAAGAUGCAAGAAUGAAGAGGGAAGAAAAGAAAAUGAGGAGGACAGAGGAGGGAAAAGAAAGAAAAAUGAGAGAGUAUAUAGAAUAGGGCAGAGAAGAAAGUAGAGGGAAGGGAAGGGAAGAGGAAAUUGGAGGCAGAGAGGAAUGGAUGGAAGAGGAUGAAGGGAAGACAAAAAAGAGGUAAGAAGGAUGAAAAAGGAAGAGAUCUGAAGAUGAAAGAAAAGGAAUGAAAACAGAAGAGAGAAGAGGGGAUGAGAAGGAAAGGGGAGAAAUGAGGUAAGAGGAAAGAGAAGGGAAAUGAGUGAGAAGGUAGGGAACCAUAGGGAGGGGUAAGAGAAGAGAGGAGAAAAGGGGAUGGCAGAUGAAGAAAAAGGAAAGAAAAGUUAAGGUAGAAGAGAAAGGAAGAGGAAAGAGGAUGGAAGACAAGUGGAUGAGAUAUGGAUGAGGAACAAGAGGGAAUCAGAGAGAGGAGGGAAGAGGCACAAAAAGGAUGAGAAAGAAAAGAGAAGAGGAGGUAUAAGUGAAAAGAAGGGGAGAGGAAGAGAAGAGGGAAGAUGGAGGAGAAGAGGGAUGAGAAGAUAAGAGAAAGAGAAAGGAAGAGUGGAAAGGUUGAGAGAGAAGGGGAAUGAGAAUGAAAGAGGGAAAAGAGUACUAAGAUCUUAGUUGAGGUAAGAUGGAAUAUUAAGAAAGAGGGAAGAGGAAGGAAGGGGGAAGACAGAAAUAAAGAAAGAGAAGUCAAGUGGAUAAAACAGGAAAAGAACAUAAGCAGGAUGAGGAGGGAAGAGGAAGGAAUAUGGAAGAGAAGUGAAGAGGAAAAAAGACGAAUGAGAGAAGAUGAGGCAAUAAGAGAGAAGCAGUAAACAUUUUUUUGUUUUUGUUUUUUCGAGACAGGGUUUCUCUGUGUAGCCCUGGCUGUCCUGGAACUCACUCUAUAGACCAGACUGGCCUUGAACUCAGAAAUCCACCUGCCUCUACCUCCCAAGUGCUGGGAUUAAAGGCGUGCACCACAACCACCCGGCAAGAGAAGCAGUUAAGAGGAAGGAAGAGGGAAAUGAGAGAAGCAGAGGGAAAAACAAAGAGAAAACAGGAAAGAAUAGACAGGAGGAGAGGAGAGGAGAAAAGGGAGGAAGAAGUUAUGAUGUGAAAAGGUGAAGGGGAAGAGAAAAAAGUAGGAAGGAGGGAAGACAUAAAGGAGGCAAUAGGAAAGAGAAAUUAAGAGGUAAGGAUAGGAAGGAGGGAUGAAAAAGAAGGGCAGAGGAGAGAAAAGGAAAGGAUGAGUGAAAAGAGAUGUGAGGGCAGAGAAGGGAAGGAGGAAGAGGGAGUGGUGGUACUGGGAUUGUAGUGGGAAGAGGUAGUUGAGGUAGGAAGAGGAGGGAGGAGAAAAUAGAGGAAAUAGGAUGGAAGGAGAAAAGAAAUGAAAGAUGAGGCAAAAAAGAACAAAAAGAAGGAACUGUGCAGAAAGGAGGGAAGAAGGGAGAAGGUAAAAUAUAAGAGAAGAUGGAAUAGGGAAGGUGGACAAGAAAGGAAGAGGAUAGAGUAGGAUGGAUGAGGAUGAAAGAGGGAAGAGGAGGGAGAAGAGAGUGGUAAAAUGAUAAGAGGGAAGAGGGUGGAAAGAAAAGAGUUGUGAGGAGGAAAGGGGAAAAGGAACAAGGGGAUACAAGAAGAAAGAGGAAGAAGGAGGCAAGAGAGAAGGAGGAAUGUGGGAAGUAGGGGAAGUGCAAGGGUGAGGGAAGAGGGAAGAGAAUAAAAAAGGGAAGUGAAGUUAGGAGGGAAUAAGAACAGGAAUGAAGAAGAUGCAGGAGGUAGUAGGGAAGAGAGGGGAAAGAGGAGGCAAGCAAUGGGAAGAGAGAAGGGGAGGGGAGUAGGGAGGAAGUUGAGAGAAGGACAGAGGAGGAAAGCAGAGGUUAUAGGGACAAGAAAGGAAGAGGUGGAAAGAAGGGAUGUGGAAAUGAGGGAGAAAGUUUGAGGAAGGUAGAGGAGAGUGAGGGAAGAGAGGGAGGAAGAUAGAAGAUGGAUGAAGGAAGACAGGGAGGAGAGAACAGAAAGGAAAAUGAGGAGGGAAGAGGGAAAGGACAUAAGUGGAGAAAAGAUGGAAGUGAAAAUGAGAGUAAAGAGGGAAGGGGAGGGACGAGGAAACAAAGAAGAGGUUAAAAGGAUGAAUUAAGUGGAAGGAAAUCAUAAGUGGAGUGAAGAGGGAUGAGGUGGAAAGAGGAGGCAAACAUGAAAAGGAAGUGAGACAAUAGAAGAGAAGAAAGGGGGAGGAGAAUGGAGGAGGAAAGAAGAGAGAAGUGGAAUGGAGGGGAAGAGGGAAUAGGAGAGUGGAAAGAGAGAGGGAAAAGGAGAGUAGUUAAUAGGACCUGGGAGGGAGAAGCUAAAAGGACCAAAGGAGAUGAGAAGGGACAGGGAGGUGGGGAUAUGAGUGAAGAGCAGGGAGUAAAGAAGAGGAGAGAAGAAGGGAGAAGAGGGAAGUCUGAAGAGAAGAGAGGAGGCAGAGGGGACAAGGAGGGAUGUAUGAAGUGGAGGGAUGAGGAAAUAGGACUGAGAAAGGAAGAAGAACUAAGGUGGAGGAGAGAAGAGAGGGUAAGAGAAAUACAGAGUGGGAAGGAGGGAAGAGGAGAGGAGCUGGAUGAGGACGAACAAGGAGAGAAGAGGGAAGAGGAAGGAUGAGAACGAGAAGAAAAAGGAAUAAUGAAGAGGAGGAAAGUGGAGGGAAAAGGAGGGGAAAGGGAAGAGAAGGGAGAAAAAGAGGGAAGAGAAAGUUAGGGAAAGAGGAGGGAAGAGAAUGGAAGAAAAAGAGAAAAGGAGUACAGACUGAAGAAGGAUUGAAGGAAUACAGGAGAGAAGAGCAAGGGCGAGAGAAGUGGAGAUGUGAGGAAAGAAAAAUAUUGAGGAGGGAAGAAAAGCAGAUGGAAGAGGAGGGCGAGGAAAGGUAGGAAGAUGGAAGAGGAUAGAUGAGGUAAUGCAAGGGGAGGGAGGAGGAUGAAAAUGAAAGAGGAGGAAGUACAGAAGAGGAGAGAAGAGGAAAGAAGGAAAGAAGCUUUAAGGGAGAAGGGGAGGGAGAAGAAAAGAAGAUAGAAGAGGAAAAGAGUAGAAGAAGCGAGUGUGAACAGAAAGGAGUACCAAAGAUGGGAAAGGAAAGAGAUGGGAAUAGGAGGAAGAGGAACGUGGAAGGAGAAGGGAAGAGGAAAGAGGGGAAAGGAAUUAAGGAAGAAAUAUGAGGGAAAAGAGAAAAGGGGGAAGACAAAUUAGCAUGAAGGUGGGCGAGGAGAGAAGGAAGAAAAGAAAGGUUGGAAGGGGAGGGAGGCAGAAAGAGCGACUCAAAGGGAGAACAGUGAGGUGGGAACAGGGAAACAGAAGGAAGAGGAGAGUAUGAGAGAGGAGAAAGAAUGGGAGCAGAGGCAGCAGAUAAGAGAGUAAGGAGGAUGCUGGGCAGUGGUGGCACACACCUUUAA